rnacentral:rRNA from 1 species
AGAGUUUGAUCAUGGCUCAGAUUGAACGCUGGCGGCAUGCUUAAUACAUGCAAGUCGAACGGUAACAGAUUCUUCGGAAUGCUGACGAGUGGCGGACGGGUGAGUAAUACAUAGGAAUCUGCCCAUGUAGUGGGGGACAACUUGGGGAAACUCAAGCUAAUACCGCAUAAUUCCUACGGGAUAAAGAGGGCCACUGCUUGCAAGCUCUUGCUACUGGACGAGCCUAUGUCGGAUUAGUUAGUUGGUAAGGUAAUGGCUUACCAAGACAGCGAUCCGUAGCUGGUUUGAGAGGAUGAUCAGCCACACUGGGACUGAGACACGGCCCAGACUCCUACGGGAGGCAGCAGUAGGGAGUAUUGGACAAUGGGCGCAAGCCUGAUCCAGCAAUGCCGCGUGUGUGAAGAAGGCCUGCGGGUUGUAAAGCACUUUCAAUUGGGAAGAAAGAUUAUGAGUUAAUACCUUAUAAUAUUGACGU